GACGAACGCUGGCGGCGUGCUUAACACAUGCAAGUCGAACGGAAAGGCCCCUUUGGGGGUACUCGAGUGGCGAACGGGUGAGUAACACGUGAGUAACCUGCCCUUGACUUCGGGAUAACUUCAGGAAACUGGGGCUAAUACCGGAUAGGAAUCCUUGCCGCAUGGUGGGGGUUGGAAAGCUUCGGCGGUUUUGGAUGGACUCGCGGCUUAUCAGCUUGUUGGUGGGGGAGUGGCUUACCAAGGCUUUGACGGGUAGCCGGCCUGAGAGGGCGACCGGCCACAUUGGGACUGAGAUACGGCCCAGACUCCUACGGGAGGCAGCAGUGGGGAAUAUUGCACAAUGGGCGGAAGCCUGAUGCAGCAACGCCGCGUGCGGGAUGACGGCCUUCGGGUUGUAAACCGCUUUCAGCAGGGGCGAAGCUUGUGGUGACGGUACCUGCAGAAGAAGCACCGGCUAACUACGUG
rnacentral:rRNA from 1 species